rnacentral:lncRNA from 1 species
UUCUGCAAAUUAGCAAAAUUGAAAGGGAAAUCAAGGCCAAAUCACAUGCAUGAACUCGAAACCUUAACUAUCUAAGCUAGUACAACAAGCGGCGUUAAGGAAGAAAGUUCGAGUCAAGUGAAGCAACAAGGGGAUCAAGACCGAGGUAAAUCUCAUGUCUAGCUAUCAAGCUUUGCCCGGUUCGAACACGCCUCAAGCCCGUCAAGCGUUCUGCAUUUUUAGUUAA